rnacentral:rRNA from 1 species
UACGUAGGGUGCAAGCGUUAAUCGGAAUUACUGGGCGUAAAGCGUGCGCAGGCGGUUAUGUAAGACAGGUGUGAAAUCCCCGGGCUUAACCUGGGAACUGCAUUUGUGACUGCAUAGCUAGAGUACGGUAGAGGGGGAUGGAAUUCCGCGUGUAGCAGUGAAAUGCGAAGAUAUGCGGAGGAACACCGAUGGCGAAGGCAAUCCCCUGGACCUGUACUGACGCUCAUGCACGAAAGCGUGGGGAGCAAACAGG